rnacentral:ncRNA from 1 species
AGCUUAUCAAGAAAGGAGGAGGGACAUGGCCCGACGAUACCUUAGCAACCAUCACUGUGCAAACAGUGAAAGGUGCUGCAUCCAUCCCGGUUUACGGACCAGGAAAGAUAAGUC